rnacentral:rRNA from 1 species
CCUACGGGAGGCAGCAGUGGGGCAUAUUGCACAAUGGGGGAAACCCUGAUGCAGCGACGCCGCGUGAGUGAAGAAGUAUUUCGGUAUGUAAAGCUCUGUCAGCAGGGAAGAAAAUGACGGUACCUGACCAAGAAGCCCCGGCUAACUACGUGCCAGCAGCCGCGGUAAUACGUAGGGGGCAAGCGUUAUCCGGAUUUACUGGGUGUAAAGGGAGCGUAGACGGCAGGGCAAGUCUGGAGUGAAAGGCAGGGGCUCAACCCCCGGACUGCUCUGGAAACUGCCAGGCUGGAGUGCAGGAGAGGUAGGUGGAAUUCCUGGUGUAGCGGUGAAAUGCGUAGAUAUUAGGAGGAACACCAGUGGCGAAGGCGGCUUGCUGGACUGUAACUGACGUUGAGGCUCGAAAGCGUGGGGAGCAAACAGGAUUAGAUACCCGUGUAGUC